GCUGCAGUGGGGUAGUGGUAACCUGGGUCGUUGCCACAUAUGUGUGUAACUCGACCCGCCCGGAGUUCGAUUCUCCGCUGCAGCA
rnacentral:tRNA from 1 species